CCUACGGGUGGCAGCAGUGAGGAAUAUUGGUCAAUGGACGAGAGUCUGAACCAGCCAAGUAGCGUGAAGGAUGACUGCCCUAUGGGUUGUAAACUUCUUUUAUAUGGGAAUAAAACGUUCCACGUGUGGGAUUUUGUAUGUACCAUAUGAAUAAGGAUCGGCUAACUCCGUGCCAGCAGCCGCGGUAAUACGGAGGAUCCGAGCGUUAUCCGGAUUUAUUGGGUUUAAAGGGAGCGUAGGUGGAUUGUUAAGUCAGUUGUGAAAGUUUGCGGCUCAACCGUAAAAUUGCAGUUGAAACUGGCAGUCUUGAGUACAGUAGAGGUGGGCGGAAUUCGUGGUGUAGCGGUGAAAUGCUUAGAUAUCACGAAGAACUCCGAUUGCGAAGGCAGUUCACUGGACUGCAACUGACACUGAGGCUCGAAAGUAUGGGUAUCAAACAGGAUUAGAUACCCUAGUAGUC
rnacentral:rRNA from 1 species